GCCCAGGAGUGAGGAGGAAAAAACAAGACAAAAACGAAAGCGAGUCAGUGCCAAUCCCAACAACCCAGCCCAGCAGCCUCAGGCCAGUGAGACACCGACCACCCUCUCGGCUCCUCUGCAACCUGCAGGUCCUCUGCUUGCCGAGGGAGGGAGGACAGACUCUCAAGGUCACCUGGGAGGCCCCUCCAGCUUCCUGAGGUCAGCAGGUGUCUGCAGCCUGCAGUGCUGGUCAGCAAGGCUCAGAAAAGAAACUUUAGAGAAGCCAGCUCCAGACAUGGCCUCUCUGUCCAGGAGAGAACGGAGGAAAAGGACAGAACGUCUCUGGGUGCCUGGUGGGGCCCUCUCAGUUCCCACUCCAGUCACCUGAGGCAGUUCUCGCCGUCCUGCAGCCUGGCCCAGAGGAUACAACUGUGGAGAGGAGGGGAAGGCCCUGUCUGGGCCAACUCAGAGCCCCCUCCAGGUGACAGGCAAUCUCUGGCUGGCAGAGCUACUGCUCGAGACCGAAGUGGCCUCUGCGAGACCAAGCCACUCAGGUGGCCAGCUCCGGCUGCUGAGCACGGUGGGAACAUGCAGUGAGUCCCCCUCUGCAAGCAGACGGCGCAGGGCAGGUGCUGUGUGCAGGAGGGAGUCCCUGCGCCCCGCCUUCCUCCUGUGUGGGCGCCUCUCAGUUUGGGAACAGCAGUGGGGGCUGUGCCCAGUCCCUGUGUAGAGCUGAGUGCCAGGGCUGCAGGACUGGUGGCACAGAGGGAAGGUUACAGGCCACUGUCUCAGUUUCACCCACAGAUUCUCAUUCCAAAGCAAACCCUUAAGGACUCUGACUGGAAGUGGCAAAAGCUAAGUCUAAGGAGCAACCUGAUACAUUGCCUGCCUCUCACUAAUGGGACAGAACUGCCCUGCCCAGUGAGCUGAAACCCAGAGGGUGCCAGGGACUCUACGCCUCUGCACAAGUGAGCCACCUGGUAGGCAAGGAAAAAAGAAGUGAGGAAGGGGAGACAGGCACAUGCAGGAGGGUGCCAGACCCCACCCAUCACCACAAGGGCCGAAGCCACCAAUGUGGGUGGGGCCUGCGGGUCUAGGGCAGCAGGAAGUGCUGUGAUGGUGGCGGGAACAGGUUCAGAUGUGACGCCCAGAGGCAUCUGUGGCUCCCAGGGCCCAGAGCACCAGCUCCAUGACCCCAGCUGCCAGGAAGGAGCUUUGCCAGUAGCCUGGGAUGGCCCCCAAAUGCAGGCCUCCAGCCGUAGGGGCGGAAGCCCAGCAGCGAGCCCAGCACAGGUGCCACUCAGCAUCAGAGGGAGCGAGAUGCCAGGAGGCUUUCCCACCAGCCAGCCCCUGAAGCUAACCAACAGCAAGGACAAGCAGCAGACUGACCAGACCCACCAGGGCCAAAGCAGGAUGUGGGAAGAGAGGCUGUGGCAACAUACCUUGGCAUGAGGGGACUGCAUUUUUUGGUACAUCUCCAAAGAAUAAUGAUGAAGCCACAUUUCAACGAAAACCUAUAAAAGAGCAUUCGCUGGUCAGAAGACUUCUGACAAGGCCAUCAGGACCAUUCAGCAAGGGAAGCGUGGUCUUUCAGCAAAUGCUGCCCGGAAAACCAGACACCACACACAAAUGCACACACUUACCUACACCAUAAACAAGAAACAACUCAAAAUGGACCAAAGACCUAAAUACAAGUGCUAAAAUCAUACAACUCUUAAAAACGGAUGAAUGCUUCAUGACA